UACGGGAGGCAGCAGUGGGGAAUAUUGGGCAAUGGACGAGAGUCUGAACCAGCCAAGUAGCGUGCAGGAUGACGGCCCUAUGGGUUGUAAACUGCUUUUAUACAGGGAUAAAGUAGGGAACGUGUUCCCUUUUGCAGGUACUGUAUGAAUAAGGACCGGCUAAUUCCGUGCCAGCAGCCGCGGUAAU
rnacentral:rRNA from 1 species